rnacentral:rRNA from 1 species
AGAACGAACGCUGGCGGUAUGCCUAACACAUGCAAGUCGAACGAGACCCCAACUUCGGUUGGACGUCUAGUGGCGCACGGGUGCGUAACGCGUGGGAAUCUGCCCUUCGGUUCGGAAUAACUCGGAGAAAUCCGUGCUAAUACCGAAUAAUGACGUAAGUCCAAAGAUUUAUCGCCGAGGGAUGAGCCCGCGUAGGAUUAGCUUGUUGGUGAGGUAAAGGCUCACCAAGGCGACGAUCCUUAGCUGGUCUGAGAGGAUGAUCAGCCACACUGGGACUGAGACACGGCCCAGACUCCUACGGGAGGCAGCAGUGGGGAAUAGUUGGACAAGUGGGACGAAAGCCUGAUCCAGCAAUGCCGCGUGAGUGAUGAAGGCCUUAGGGUUGUAAAGCUUCGUUUACCCGGGAUGAUAAUGACAGUACCGGAAGAAUAAGCUCCGACUAACGUCCGUGCUAGCAGCCGUACGGUAAUCGUAG